ACGGGAGGCAGCAGUGGGGAAUAUUGCACAAUGGGGGAAACCCUGAUGCAGCGACGCCGCGUGAGCGAAGAAGUAUCUCGGUAUGUAAAGCUCUAUCAGCAGGGAAGAAGAUGACGGUACCUGACUAAGAAGCACCGGCUAAAUACGUGCCAGCAGCCGCGGUAAUACGUAUGGUGCAAGCGUUAUCCGGAUUUACUGGGUGUAAAGGGAGCGUAGACGGAGAAGCAAGUCUGGAGUGAAAGCCCGGGGCUCAACCCCGGGACUGCUUUGGAAACUGUUUUUCUUGAGUGCCGGAGAGGUAAGCGGAAUUCCUAGUGUAGCGGUGAAAUGCGUAGAUAUUAGGAGGAACACCAGUGGCGAAGGCGGCUUACUGGACGGUAACUGACGUUGAGGCUCGAAAGCGUGGGGAGCAAACAGGAUUAGAUACCCUGGUA
rnacentral:rRNA from 1 species